CCCAGACUCCUACGGGAGGCAGCAGUGGGGGAUAUUGCACAAUGGGGGAAACCCUGAUGCAGCGACGCCGCGUGUGGGAAGACGGUCCUCUGGAUUGUAAACCACUGUCCCCAGGGACGAAGAUGACGGUACCUGGGGAGGAAGCUCCGGCUAACUACGUGCCAGCAGCCGCGGUAAUACGUAGGGGGCAAGCGUUAUCCGGAUUUACUGGGUGUAAAGGGAGCGUAGACGGCGGCGCAAGCCAGAUGUGAAAGCCCGGGGCUCAACUCCGGGACUGCAUUUGGAACUGUGUGGCUGGAGUGUCGGAGAGGCAGGCGGAAUUCCUAGUGUAGCGGUGAAAUGCGUAGAUAUCAGGAGGAACACCGGCGGCGAAGGCGGCCUGCUGGACCGAAACUGACGUUGAGGCUCGAAAGCGUGGGGAGCAAACAGGAUUAGAUACCCCCGUAAC
rnacentral:rRNA from 1 species